GAUGAACGCUGACAGAAUGCUUAACACAUGCAAGUCUACUUGAACUUCGGUUUGGGUGGCGGACGGGUGAGUAACGCGUAAAGAACUUGCCUCACAGAUAGGGACAACAUUUGGAAACGAAUGCUAAUACCUGAUAUUAUGAUUUUAGGGCAUCCUAGAAUUAUGAAAGCUAUAUGCACUGUGAGAGAGCUUUGCGUCCCAUUAGCUAGUUGGAGAGGUAACGGCUCACCAAGGCGAUGAUGGGUAGCCGGCCUGAGAGGGUGAUCGGCCACAAGGGGACUGAGACACGGCCCUUACUCCUACGGGAGGCAGCAGUGGGGAAUAUUGGACAAUGGACCAAGAGUCUGAUCCAGCAAUUCUGUGCGCACGAUGAAGUUUUUCGGAAUGUAAAGUGCUUUCAGUUGGGAAGAAAAAAAUGACGGUACCAACAGAAGAAGUGACGGCUAAAUACGUG
rnacentral:rRNA from 1 species